UGGGGAAUAUUGCGCAAUGGGCGAAAGCCUGACGCAGCAACGCCGCGUGGGGGAUGAAGGUUCUCGGAUUGUAAACCCCUUUCGACCGGAACGAAUCUCCUCCUGGUGAACAAUCAGGAGGAUUGACGGUACCGGGAGAAGAAGCCACGGCUAACUCUGUGCCAGCAGCCGCGGUAAGACAGAGGUGGCGAGCGUUGUUCGGAUUUAUUGGGCGUAAAGCGUACGCAGGCGGUUUGGUAAGUCAGAGGUGAAAUCCCGCAGCUUAACUGCGGUACUGCCUUUGAUACUGCCUUUCUUGAGUGCAUGAGGGGGAAGCGGAAUUCCGAGUGUAGAGGUGAAAUUCGUAGAUAUUCGGAGGAACACCGGUGGCGAAGGCGGCUUCCUGGCAUGUAACUGACGCUCAUGUACGAAAGCGUGGGGAGCAAACAGG
rnacentral:rRNA from 1 species